GUUUCAUGACUGCUUUUUGCGUGACCUCCUCCAUAAUUCUCACAGGGCUUAUAAGUGCCUUGGUGGUUCAUCUUUGGUCAAAAAGGGAUCCUACAAAUUCCCAAGAACGUUGUCACUGGAUAUAGGAGCAAGAGGCAGAGCAAGAUGGCUAAACAGAAACCUUCAAGGAUUAUCCUCCCUGCAGGAACACCAAAUUGAACAACCAUCCACACAAAAAAGCACCUUCAUAAGAACCAAA